AGAGUUUGAUCCUGGCUCAGAGUGAACGCUGGCGGCGUGCCUAAUACAUGCAAGUCGAACGAUGAAGCUUCUAGCUUGCUAGAAUGCUGAUUAGUGGCGCACGGGUGAGUAACGCAUAGGUCAUGUGCCUCUUAGUUUGGGAUAGCCAUUGGAAACGAUGAUUAAUACCAGAUACUCCCUACGGGGGAAAGAUUUAUCGCUAAGAGAUCAGCCUAUGUCCUAUCAGCUUGUUGGUAAGGUAAUGGCUUACCAAGGCUAUGACGGGUAUCCGGCCUGAGAGGGUGAACGGACACACUGGAACUGAGACACGGUCCAGACUCCUACGGGAGGCAGCAGUAGGGAAUAUUGCUCAAUGGGGGAAACCCUGAAGCAGCAACGCCGCGUGGAGGAUGAAGGUUUUAGGAUUGUAAACUCCUUUUGUUAGAGAAGAUAAUGACGGUAUCUAACGAAUAAGCACCGGCUAACUCCGUGCCAGCAGCCGCGGUAAUACGGAGGGUGCAAGCGUUACUCGGAAUCACUGGGCGUAAAGAGCGCGUAGGCGGGAUAGUCAGUCAGGUGUGAAAUCCUAUGGCUUAACCAUAGAACUGCAUUUGAAACUACUAUUCUAGAGUGUGGGAGAGGUAGGUGGAAUUCUUGGUGUAGGGGUAAAAUCCGUAGAGAUCAAGAGGAAUACUCAUUGCGAAGGCGACCUGCUGGAACAUUACUGACGCUGAUUGCGCGAAAGCGUGGGGAGCAAACAGGAUUAGAUACCCUGGUAGUCCACGCCCUAAACGAUGGAUGCUAGUUGUUGGAGGGCUUAGUCUCUCCAGUAAUGCAGCUAACGCAUUAAGCAUCCCGCCUGGGGAGUACGGUCGCAAGAUUAAAACUCAAAGGAAUAGACGGGGACCCGCACAAGCGGUGGAGCAUGUGGUUUAAUUCGAAGAUACACGAAGAACCUUACCUAGGCUUGACAUUGAGAGAAUCCGCUAGAAAUAGUGGAGUGUCUGGCUUGCUAGACCUUGAAAACAGGUGCUGCACGGCUGUCGUCAGCUCGUGUCGUGAGAUGUUGGGUUAAGUCCCGCAACGAGCGCAACCCCCUUUCUUAGUUGCUAACAGGUUAUGCUGAGAACUCUAAGGAUACUGCCUCCGUAAGGAGGAGGAAGGUGGGGACGACGUCAAGUCAUCAUGGCCCUUACGCCUAGGGCUACACACGUGCUACAAUGGGGUGCACAAAGAGAAGCAAUACUGCGAAGUGGAGCCAAUCUUCAAAACACCUCUCAGUUCGGAUUGUAGGCUGCAACUCGCCUGCAUGAAGCUGGAAUCGCUAGUAAUCGCAAAUCAGCCAUGUUGCGGUGAAUACGUUCCCGGGUCUUGUACUCACCGCCCGUCACACCAUGGGAGUUGUGUUUGCCUUAAGUCAGGAUGCUAAAUUGGCUACUGCCCACGGCACACACAGCGACUGGGGUGAAGUCGUAACAAGGUAACCGUAGGUGAACCUGCGGUUG
rnacentral:rRNA from 7 species